UACGUAGGUGGCAAGCGUUGUCCGGAAUUAUUGGGCGUAAAGGGCGCGUAGGCGGCAUUUCAAGUGACGGGUGAAAUCCCUCGGCUUAACCGAGGAACUGCCUGUCAGACUGGAAGGCUUGAGACCGGGAGAGGUGAGUGGAAUUCCCAGUGUAGCGGUGAAAUGCGUAGAUAUUGGGAGGAACACCAGUGGCGAAGGCGGCUCACUGGACCGGAACUGACGCUGAGGCACGAAAGUGUGGGGAUCAAACAGG
rnacentral:rRNA from 1 species